UUUGUUGCCUUGCUCCUUCUGCCAUUACGUAAUGCCCUUCUUUGUCUCUUUUGAUCUUUGUUGGUUUAAAGUCCAUUUCAUCAGAGAGUAGAAUUGCAACUCCUGUUUCUUUUUCUCUCUCCAUUUGGUUGGUUAAUCUUCCUCCAUUCCUUUAUUUUGAGCCUAUGUGUGUCCUUGCACAUGAGAUGGGUUUCCUGAAUGGAGCAUACCAAUGGGUCUUGACUUUUUAUCCAAUUUUCCAGUCUGUAUCUUUUGAUUGGGGCAUUUAGCUCAUAUACAUUUAAGGUUAAUACUGUUAUGUGUGAAGUUGAUCUGCCAUUUUGUUGCUAGCUGGUUGUUUUGCCUAUUAGUUGACACAUUUUCUUCAUCGUGUCUAUGGUCUUUACCAUUUGGUACAUUUUUGGAGUGGCUGGUCCUGGUUGCUCCUUUCCAUGUUUAGUCCUUCUUUCAGGAGCUCUUGUAAGGCAGGCCUGGUUGUGACAAAAUCUCUCACCAAUUGCUUGUUUGUAAAGGAUUUUAUUUCUCCUUCACUUGUGAAGCUUAGUUUGGCUGGAUAUGAAAUUCCAGUUUGAAAGUUCUUUUCUUUAAGGAUGUUGAAUAUUGACCUCCACUCAUUUCUGGCUUGUAGGGUUUCUGCAGAGAGAUCUGCUGUGAGUCUGAUGGACUUCCCUUUGUGGGUAACCCGACCUUUCUUUCUGGUUGACCUUAGUAUUUUUUCCUUCAUUUCAACCCUGGUGAAUCUGACAAUUAUGUGCCUUUGGGUUGGUCUUCUUCUUGAGGUAUAUCUUUGUGGUGUUCUCUGUAUUUCCAGGACUUGAAUGUUGUCCUGCCUUGCUAGAUAGAGGAAGUUCUCCUGGAUAAUAUCCUGAAGAGUAUUUUCCAGCUUGGAUUCAUUCUCUCCAUCACAUCCAGGUACAUCUAUCACACAUAGACUAGGUCUUUUCACAUAAUCCCAUAUUUCUUGGAGGUUUUGCUCAUUUCUUUUCACUCUUUUUUUCUCUAAUCUUGCCUUCUUGAUUUAUUUCAUUGAGUUGAUCUUCAAUCUCUGAUAUCGUUUCUUCUGCUUGGUCAUACACAAGCUAUUGAAACUUGUGAAUGCUUCACCAAGUUAUUAUGUUGUGUUUUUUAGCUCCAUCAACUCGUUUAUAUUCUUCUCUAAGGUGUAUACUUUUGUUAGCAUUUCAGCUAACUUUUUCUCAAGGUUCUUAGUUUCUUUGCAUUGGGUUGGCACAUGUUGUUUUAGCACAGGGAAGUUUGUUAUUACCCACCUUCUGUAGCCUGUUUCUGUCAAUUCAUCAGACUCAUUCUCCAUCCAGCUUUGUCCCUUGCUGGUGAGUGUGUUCCCUUGCAGGAGGAGAGCCAUUCUGGUUUUUGGUGUUUUCAUCCUUUUUGUGCUGGUUUCUUCCCAUCUUCAUGGAUUUUUCUACCUGUGGUCUUUGUAGUUGGUGACUUUUGGGUGGGGUCUCGAGUGGGCAUCCUUUUUGUUCAUGUUGAAGCUAUUUCUUUCUGUCUUUUAGUUUUCCUUCUAAUAGUCAAGCCCCUAUGCUGCAAGACUGCUGGAGGUCAACCCCAGAUCUUGCUUGUGUGGGGAUCACUCAUGGGGGCUGCAGAAGAGUAAAGGUUGCUGCCAGUUUCUUCUGUUAUCUUCAUCCCAGAAGGGUACUUGCCAGAUGUCUGCCUGAGCUCUCCUUUAUGAGGUGUCUCUGGGUAUACAGGGUUCAGGGAGCUGCUUGAGGAGAUGGUCUGUCCCUGUAGGAGCUCAAGUGCUGUGCUGGGAGCUCUGUUGUUCUGUUCAGAGCUGCUGGGCAGGUGUGUUUAGGUCUGCCGCAGUGGAACUCAUAACCACCUCUUUUCCCAGGUACUCUGUCCUGGGAAGGUGGGGCUUUAUUUGUAAGUUUCUUGCAUGCUGCUGCCUUUUUUCAGAGAUGCCCUGCCCAGCAAAGAGGUAGCCUAGUCACAGUCUGCCAGCAGAGGCAUUGCUGAGCUGCCAUGGGCUCUGCCCAGCUGCUGUGUAAACUUCCUUGUGAUUUUGUUUACAGAGGUACAGUUAGAACUGCCUUGGUAAUGGUGGCCUGCCUUAACAAUGGCAGACUGCCUCGGUGAUGGUGGACAUCCUCAGUAAUGGCAGACUGCCUUAGUAAUGGUGGACUGCCUCCGUAGUGGUGGACUGCCUUGAUAAUGGCAGACUGUUCCCCCCACAGCCAGCGCUUUCCUGGGUCCAGCUACACUUGCUGUAAAACUCUUAAUCCAGAGCGUUUCAGAUUGCUGGUCUUUGUGGGGGUGGGACCCGCUGAGCCAGAUCACCUGGCUCCCUGUUUCAGCCCCCUCUUUUUCAGUUGAAUGGGCAUCUCUGUCUCCCAGGCUUUCUAGGCACCAGUUGAAACAGCCACCCAGAUUUGUGUGAGUUUUUGUGUGGAAACCAUGGCACUGGCUGAAACAGCCAUGCUGGAAACUCAUGGCACUUUUCGGCCCAGGAAUAUCCUGGUCUGCGGGCAGCAAAAGCUCAUUUGGAAAUGCAGUGAUCACUCAUCCUCUGCAUUGUUCUCCCUGGGAACUGCACUCCAGAGCUGUUCCUGUUCAACCAUCUUGGAUCUCCUCCUGAAAGAGAAUUUAUCUUAAAAUGUUAUGCAAUUUUAAAGGUUAGUCAGUCUGCUACAUGCUUCAUAAACUGCUACUAUGAUUCUUAACUGUACCACUAUCCUGCCUUAAAGUCAUUAAAUUUAAGGCAAAGCCUGGGGACAUACAGAAUUAGCCAUGGUCCUAGCUAUGCUAGAAACAGUCAGACCUUAUCUACAUUCUAUCUGGUGUCCUAGGCUCCACACCUGGUACACAGCUAAAAUCACUUACUUACUAGGGUUUUUGCCACAAGUAAACAGCAUAACAUGUACUUGAGACUACUGGAAAAACAGUUUUACAGGCAAAGCAUGUAAAAGUAGAAUGUGCCUUUGGUAAAAGAUUAUAAAAAGACGUGAAAAUGUAAUUUUUUUCUGCCUAGUUUAGAGAGUUAAAGGAUUAAGUUAAAUAAGAUAAAGUUGAAGGUUUAAGCUAGUUUUAGAAAGUUUGUGAAAGAUUAAUCUUAUAAAAGAAAUUCUGUAUAUAAACAUGUUGGCUAAAAUUAAAGGGCUAUUGUUCAGUCUAUUCAUAAAUCGAGCUCUGGAUAAACACAACAUGGUUUGCUUAGAACAUUGUUCUUCUCUUUAACAGAAAAUUGUAAUGGGUUAUAAAGGUUUUGGUGAUCUUACCUUGUGGUCAGACUAAAAUUGAAUAGAUUCUUCUAUAAGAUUUUAUUAAGAAUUGGGUUUUACCUUAGUUGUGCACUAAGGCAAUGGUAAAAUUUGGCUUUCUUUGGGCUGAUUGUAUGAACGUGUUAUUGGUUUGUGUUCUAAAAUUAUGCAAAACUCCUAUAAUUCUGAUAUGAAUAUUAGAAUAUUAUCAGUAAUGAUUACAAUUGUAAGGCUAAAUUAUUGUGUGCCACAGAGAUACCAAAUUUCCUUGUCAUUGUGUUUUUGACUGUGGCUGCCCUAAGACUUUUUCUCAUCCACAGACAUUUGUUGUCUUGUAACCCUCUUUAAAAGGUGGUUUUGUAAUCAGCUAUAGGAAUGUAACAUGUGCUGUUAAAUGCAGGUUUCUGAUAACAUUGGAAGAUUAUAACAUUACAAUAGAGGAAAAACUUUGAAGAUUCUCAGGAAGACCUAAAAUAUUCAUGAAUAUUAAGCAGAACAGAAGUUAACUGCAUGGACUAAAUUAAUAGAAGACUAAAAUAAUCUUUUUAUUACUUUUUGGUUAAAAUGUUGCUAACCUUUUCUUUUUGGAAGCCAAGGAAAUAUUUCUUUUAAGCUAUUUACAGCUUUUAAUAAUUGAGUAAAAUACACUGCUAUAAGCAAAAUUUGAAGCAUAUUUCUCUCUACCUGAUUUUUCUAAAAUUUAGAAACUACUUGUGAGUAUUCUUGACUUAUAGCCAUACAGUUCUUUGUGUAAGUGCAACAAAAAUUGCUUUUCUUUUGUAAUAGGACACAAUUGAAGAAACUGGUUAUUUUACUAAGGCUUUGACUGAAAUUGCAUGCUUUCCUUUAAGGAAUCGAAUUUGACUAAUGGAGUCAAUAAAAAAAACCCUUGGGAAAACAGGCCUCAUACCUGUCUACACAGUCCCUGUACAGGAUUCCUGACCUGUGGUAAGUAAAGAAUGUUACUUUCUGACAGGCCCAGGAGUCCCAAGUUAUCCAGGGACCGUGGGAAGAGAGGAAUUUCCCAACUCAUACAGGUAUUUGAUGAAACAAACGCAUGGCUGGGCUUAGGGCUUUGGAAAGCCUUCUCUCAGAUUCCUUAUGCAACAAAAUUCCACCAAAGCAAACUUAAAACGGAGCCUGUAUGGCUAAUAAUUCCUUUUGCUAUUGUUUAUGCAAAUAAUCAGACCAAAUAUAAUAAGACUAAAGACUAGCUUGCAAAAAAUCCAUCUUAUCAUGAUUUUUUAAAAUCAAAAUGAGGACUGGAGAGAGAGAAAUGAUACUCCUCUUAUUAGAUUCUACUCUCACUGUCAUCAGUUGCUUUUGCGUUUUUGUCUGGAAUUUAACACUGAUUAUUCCUGUGAACCAACCAAUGAUUUCUGACUGCGCCUCAGAAAAAACAAGAUGGGUGGAUCAUGGAAAAAUCUGGAUCAGUAUUCUAAUUCUGGGCAUAUACUGGCAUUGGCUAGUAAGCCCAUGUACCCAAGUCUUGGCAGGCAUGACUACAGCCACUCACUACCUAGGCAUGUCAGCAGCCUCAGGAUUUUUUGGAGCCAUCCUUACCUUCUUAUUUUGUUUCAACAUUCUUCUCUAUCUAAUAACCUGAUUUGUCUCCUCUCACCUUCAGGUCAUAAUGCUCCACAUGAUCCUCAGUGAGGAAUACUAUUGGCUCAAUAUUCAAGAGUCACCCUUUUACAGGUGACCCCUAGACUGCCCAUCAGUGGGACACAACAGAAGUGAAAUCCUGCCCUAUCUCCCUUGGACCUGGCUGGAUAUUGCUUUCACCAACCCAUGGAGGCAUCCUGCCCUGAGAGCCAAGAGACCAAGGCCCACAGAACAAUCACUGCUGCCUCUCUGUCAGCAGGAAGCAGAGUCCCACUCCGUUGCCAGGCUGGAGUGCAGUGGCGUGAUCUCAGCUCACCGCAACCUCUCUGCCUCCCGGGUUCAAGCCAUUCUCCUGCCUCAGCCUCCCAAGUAGCUGGAAAUACAGGCAUAUGCCAUCACGCCCAGCUAAUUUUUGUAUUUUUAGUAGAGAUGGGGUUUCGCCAUGUUGGCCAGGAUGGUCUUGAUCUCUUGACCUCAUGAUUUACCCGCCUCGGCCUCCCAAAGUGCUGCGAUUACAGGCGUGAGCCGCCCCACUGCGUCCGGCCUGAAUUAUUUUUUAGAAGAUACUUGGCCGGCAUGGAAACCAAGAACUUCAUGCACUUGGAAAGGAGAUUGAAAUGGAGGAACUCCAAAUGUAGUAGCUGGAUCUGCACAUAGGCUGUCAGCUUAUCCAGCAGCUCUUCAUUGACCACCAGAUUCCACCGGCAACUUCGCCCAUUAUAAUGUAGAAGGAGGUGUUACUGGGGCCCCUGCCUGCUUCAUAAGAUACCAAGAUAUCAAGAUAUCGAAGUCAGAAUACAGGCCCCCACCGCAUAUAUUCACAUACCCGAAACAAAAAGUUUUAAGACCCCUUUCUACAACUCAACUCUUAGCUGCCUCAGCCAGACCAGAGAAUAUCAGUCCCAGGGAGAACUUUGGGAGGAGACUUGUGGAGACUUCUUUGAAGAAAGCGAAGGCCUUGCUGUGCUGUGCCAUGCGUGCUCUGGUUCAGCUCCAAGCCUAGCGGGGGAGUUUUAGAAAAGGCACUUGGAGAACUUUGAAACAGGUUCUCAGGAGCAACCUCAGAAGAUUGAGGCCCAAUUCUUGCCUAAGAAAACGAAAGCUGAGUGUGGACCAAGAUUCACUGCACCCUUGUGUGUGAGAGAGCACUGCCUGGUCAGGAGACAGACCCUUGGGAGGAGGGAAGAGACAAUGUGGUAUAAAUGUAGAACUUUUUUCUGGAGCUAUGAGGAGACUCUGGGAAGGGUUGGAGAAGGACAAAAGUAAAUCCGUGUUUUGAUCACAAUGCAUGAGCCAGGCCUUGUACAACACUGUAGUUACAUCAUGCUUGGCGCGGGUUUGCUGCUUUUAUGGCGCUCCCCUGAAUUGGAUUUGUGUUUGAAGAUUUCCAAGAUUGUAUGAUGCUUCUCAAUAGACAAGAAGAAGAGGCCUUGCAUGAGAGACGCCUGUUUUGGCUAUGGCAUUACCAGUAAGCCGUAGUGGGAUCCGAUCUGCUAAAUCAUGAGAAAAGCUUCAGGGGUUCAUUGCUGUUUAGCCAGCUCUGCCUCUGCUCUUCCGUGGACACUGUGAUACAUGGCCUAGAUCCCACUUCAAGGACUUGUUCCCCCACCUGUUGGGCGUGCUGUCAGCUGACAGGUUUCCACUGUUAGGCUUCCCUGGGAUUGCCUCAGCUGGCUGCACACAACUCCCUUACCCAAGGUCAAAUCCCUUCUUCAGGUAGUCUGCACCCAAUGACCAAGGCUUUGACACGACUCAGAAAUAACUGACGAGCUACUUGACCUCAGAGCUUCCAGUGAGGUCAUCUGAGGCUCAUUUGGUCUGCACUGCAGCUCACUUCUCCCUCCUGGCCUCUGUCCCCACCCUUCCACAGGAGUGGAUACUAAGGGCACUCCCUAAGAAACAUCAUGCUCACUAAGUUCCCAGGAAGCCCUCCCUGCAGCAGAAGCCCUCUAGAUGCAGCUUGUGAUUAGUUUGUAUCCUUGAAAUACUACUUGGUUUCAAAUUUGCAAGUACACAUAUGCACAAUGGUAUAAAGGUAUGAGCUUAGAACAACUAAAGUAAUGUAUGUUUGAACAGAAAUGUGUACACUUAAUUUUCAAAAUUAUAAUUUGUGAAAUAUGUUAUCUGUAGGAUUUAAAUCAUAAGGCACAAUGCCUUGAGGCUUCUUCACAAUGAACAUGGAGCCCCUGGUGAUAUCCCCCAUCUUCUUGCUCUAGACACAGCCACAUAUACUUAUGCAGAAAUCAGUUUCUCGAACAUUUCCAUGUACUCUGUCCUAAACAGAAGUUUCUGUUUAGUUAAAAAAAAUAGAAAAUUAAUAAUUUUAUCACUGUGUAAAGAGUAAAGCAAUAGUGACAAAACACGUGUUACAGAUUCUGUGCCUUUUCCAGGAAGAGUUGAUCACGCAAUGCAAUCCCAGGCCUUCCCCGCCACUUCGUUUUGAAACAGUCUGUGCACACACUCAUUUCGGAGACACAGUCAAAUCUUCUACUUAAUGAGUCUUUAAAAUGAACUGCGCGGUCGCUUAGCACGUACGUAUUUAUUAUUAGCUCAUUAUGAAAUUAUGUCCUCCAUUAUGUGCAGGACGCUGCCCAGAAGGCACUGCCUUUCCACUUGGCCCCAUUGAAAACUUGAUAAACACAUUUAUUAAAAACUAACUGGUAGGGGUGAAUUGUUCUUUACAGUAAUUUGUUCUGAUGCCAGUUCUGUUUCAAAUCAUUGCUCCUUUAGGGCAGAGAAUGGUUGUGAACCUCGGCAUCUGCAACAGGAAUGUCUAAAACAGGGCCCUGCCUGCAGCACAUGACUUAAUAUCACUUAAUUGAAUUCAACAAAACAAGGUCAAUGGCAUGUUAUUUAGCAAACAUACCUGUUUUGAGAAGUAAUUUUAUUAUAAACUUCCUUCACCAUAACUUUAUUAUUGCCUGUACACUGGGAAGUUGAGAUUGAUGAGGAGCAAACCUACUUCUGUGUCCUCUACUCCUAAUUUCACUUUCGUUACAAGCCCAUGCCAAGCCCAAGCGAAGAAAUUCUGAGUCAGCUUCUGGUUCCAGCAUUUCUAUUCACACCACGGAGGAGGACUCAAAGAAGUGGCAGAAAGAGGAAGCAGGCCCCAGGUUCUUGUCUCUUAGACAAUCUUUGAAUUAUUCAUGUUUUUAUUCUGAUGCCUGGCCCAGUACAACUUCAUAUGAGCACACAUGCUCACACCUGUCUACGUGAACACACACACAUGGUUUUCAUGUAUUUUGAGAGGCUGCAGUAAUGUGCAGAGUUCUGCAUUCCUACAGGGGCAUUUGUCUUUGUAUGAUUUGUGGCUAUGUGACUUUCUAUGUUUGUAUGUGUGAUUAUUUCAUCGAUGCCUAGUCUUCUCCUGGACCUCACUUUCCUUGAGGGAAGGCAUUGUUACCUUCCCCAUGCACCCAGCGCAAUGCCCAGCACACAGUAGCCACAAGUCAAUGUUACGGUCUAGCCCUGGACUUCACAGUCCUCUAGGCAGGCACAGCUGAGAUUUUUCCAUUUCUCUUUUCUCUUUGGAAAACGCUGAGAGUGCCUUUGUAAAGGUUCAUCAUUCAAGAGUGGAGCUGCCGGAGUCGUGACACUAAAUGAAGUUUUUGGUGACAUUGCCUUUGACACUUAACUUGCUGAGUGAUUCCCAAGGACUGAAGACGUCAACUGGGUAGAUGAUAUCCAUAAAAAGUAGAAAGUCAUGCUUGCACGUGCGCGCGCGCGCACACACACACGCACACGCACGCGCACACACACGCGCACACACACGCACACACACGCGCACACAUACGCGCGCACACACACACACGCACCAUGGAAGCCAUUGUUAUCCUCUUCAGAGUUCCUGGAUUCCCAUGGAGAAAGGAAGAUAAGUUCUACCUCCAACUCCUGGGGACCUAAACAGAGAAAGCUGCUGAAAUCAGGACUGCAGUUUUGUCUAGAAGGAACUUGAGCCAGGAAAAGCCAAGAAUGAUACGCAGGAACUGUAGAUUUAUUAAAUGUGUUUUCGCAUCCAAAAGAUCUCACAACAGAAAUUGAUAGUUUAGAAUAUAGGAUUGAGAACAAAAGCAAAGGCAUUAGGGUAACGAAGUUGAAAACCCAGCAGUAAGAGGGAGUCAGCACUGAGAAAAACGCCCCUUGAAGUGCAUUUCCUUGUGUUAGAUGUCAUGGGCAGAGGUUAGAUGUCAUGGGUUAGAUGUCAUGAGCAGAGGUUAGAUGUCAUGGGUUAGAUGUCAUGGGCAGAGGUUAGAUGUCAUGGGUUAGAUGUCAUGGGCAGAGGUUAGAUGUCAUGGGUUAGAUGUCAUGGGCAGAAGUUAGAUGUCAUGGGCAGAGGUUAGAUGUCAUGGGUUAGAUGUCAUGGGAAGAGGUUAGAUGUCAUGGGCAGAGCUUAGAUGUUGUGGGCAGAGGCCGGCAAACACCUGGGCUGUCGGCCCGAUAGUUGAGUCUCUGUGUGGGAAACACUCUGCGCAACUUCUGAACACUUAUUGAUUGACCUCCUUUUACUGUAAUAACGAAUUCUGAAAUUUAAUGCUGCGCUUCCUAGGAUGUCACAGGAUGUUUUGACUCAGUUGGGCUCUUUAGUUCUCUAACUCUUUAAUAACCAGAGUAUUUUCAAACUAGUACCUGAUUCAAAGACUGGUCAAUGCUAUUUAUACUGUCGAAGUGGUAAUGUUCUGGCCACCAGGUGAUGAAAAGUCUCAUAGAUUUGCAUUCAAAGGCGGUGAGGGGCUUAGAAUCUAUGAGGCUCAGACUAUCCACGUCCUCUCAUGGUGGAGUGCUAUUCAGUAUCCUGUGUUCCAUCAGAGACCUACUUACAAUUCCCCGCAGAGAACAUACCCUUUUAUGUUCUGUUAUUUGGCACACGGUGUUUCUUCUAGUGGGAACCUUUUUGUUCUUUUCCAUGCCUAUGUAAAUUCUACUCAUUCCAGAUUUCAGAGCUGAAGCGUGAGGUACAUAUUUAGUCAAAUAGGUAAAUAAUAUCACGUCUUGUACCCCACUUAUUGAUGUGUAGGAGUCAGCCUCUAAAAAAGCCCCAGUGAUCCCUCUUCCCAGUAAUCAUGCUUUUGUGUAAUCACGGAAUCUCCUCCUAUCGAAUGUGGGCUGAACUUAAUGGCAUGCUUUUAAUCAAAAGAAUAAAGCAGAAAUAGUGGUAUGCGUAUAACUUGGA